CAAACCCUCUAUCCAACUUUUGUUGAAUAGGAUUAUUGGGGGCCUCUCGAUCUGUAUUGAUCUUGAAACCCUUGAAAUAUACUAAGGCCUGAACUUGUUUAAUGCCUGAACUUUUUUUUAAUAUAAAGGAAAGCUCUUGUAAUUGACUUUGAUGGGGCCUCCCAAAUAAAUCUUUUUAA
rnacentral:misc_RNA from 1 species